GGAGUCGGCCAGGCAGUCGCGUCAUCCCCACCCCCGCGGUGGCGGGUGCCGAGGAAAGUCCGGGCUCCACAGGGCACGGUGCCAGGUAACGCCUGGGCGGCGCGAGCCGACGGAAAGUGCAACAGAGAGCAGACCGCCGAUGGCCCGCGAGGGCACAGGCAAGGGUGAAACGGUGCGGUAAGAGCGCACCGCGAGUCUGGCAACAGACCGGCACGGCAAACCCCACCGGGAGCAAGACCAAAUAGGGAGGCAAUGCCGCGGCCCGCGGUGCCUCCGGGUAGGUUGCUUGAGCGUAUCGGUGACGAUGCGCCCAGAGGAAUGACUGUCCACGACAGAACCCGGCUUAUCGGCCGGCUCCGCUC
rnacentral:RNase_P_RNA from 2 species